UUUCAACCAGCUAUGUCCGUGUUCCCCCUGCUGGCGAGAGUCAACAGGCCGGGUCAACACUACGUGCACGGCUGGCUUCAGAGUCUAUUUUAUAGUUCGUCGAUUCGCUCAGCUGUCGUUUUCACACUUGAUCAUGAACAGACUCCAUGCAAGGGAAAUCAACUGAAGAUGACUGUCUUUCACAGAACUCAAUAAAGAAGCUAGGAGACACGUGGGCUCCGUAACGGGUUUCUCUGUGCAGCCCUGGCUGUCCUGGAACUUGCACUGUAGACCAGGUUAGCCUCGAACUCACAGAGAUCCACUUGCCUCUGCCUCCCAAGUGCUGGGAUCAAAGGUAUGCACCACCACUGCCCAGCUCAAAUAGUUCCUUUUAAAAUCUUUAGUUCUUAUAAGGACACAGAUUUUUAUCUUUUUCUUAAUUUGACCACAGGAGAUGAGGACAGCUUGGCUCCUAGGAAAGCACAGACAGCUCUAGGAGCUGUGCUGAAUUUGAGAUGACCUCAGUGUGCCAUGGAACAGCCAGUCACCACUGACUCUGGACACGGAAGGACAAGAAGGGGUUAAGAACACCACUGAAGCUUCUGACUCGGAGAUAACAAAUUAGAAGUUUUUGGAGUGACUGAAAAGCUUU
rnacentral:lncRNA from 1 species